UAGAGUUUGAUCCUGGCUCAGGAUUAACGCUGGCGGCGUGCAUAACACAUGCAAGUCGAACGAUGAAACUUAAAUGAUUUCUUCGGAAUGAACUUAAGUGGAUUAGUGGCGGACGGGUGAGUAACGCGUGAGUAACCUGCCUUACACAAGGGGAUAGCCGUUGGAAACGACGAAUAAUACCCUAUGAAACUAUCGCUUCGCAUGAAGCGAUAGUCAAAGUGUUAGCGGUGUAAGAUGGACUUGCGUCUGAUUAGCUAGUUGGUGAGAAAAAAGCCCACCAAGGCAACGAUCAGUAGCCGGCUUGAGAGAGUGUACGGCCACAUUGGGACUGAGACACGGCCCAGACUCCUACGGGAGGCAGCAGUGGGGAAUUUUGCACAAUGGGGGAAACCCUGAUGCAGCGACGCCGCGUGAUUUAGAAGGCCUUCGGGUUGUAAAAAUCUUUUGUAUAGGAAGAAAAUGACAGUACUAUACGAAUAAGGUCCGGCUAAUUACGUGCCAGCAGCCGCGGUAAUACGUAAGGACCGAGCGUUGUCCGGAAUCAUUGGGCGUAAAGGGUACGUAGGCGGGUCAUUAAGUUAGAAGUCAAA
rnacentral:rRNA from 1 species